AUGGGUAGAAGUGGGGUCAAUCCUAUUUGGGGCAAGAUUUGGAAAAUAGCUUGUCCAACGAAAGUUAAAUUUUUUAUUUGGUGUACGCUUCAUGGGGCUCUUCCGUGUUGUGUUACGCUAGCUAAUAGACACCUUAAAACUUCGACGGUUUGCCCAACAUAUUCAAAUGGGCCAGAUGACACUAAACACGUGUUGUUUUUAUGUCAGAAGGCCAAAAUGUGGGAAAACUUGGGGCUAUAUGAAGUAAUCAAAAAAGCUAGCGUGGUGGACCGUGCAGGAGAGGCAAUUCUUGAACUGAUACUUCUUAUGUCUGAUCAAGAACUAUCUAUGUUAGGUUUCCAAAAUGGAAGGGAUCCAAUCGCUAUUUUCACAUGGUAUCUAUGGUGGAAUAGAAGGAAGCUUAUUCAUGAUAACCUCGAUGGGGAUCCGGGCUCUAACGGCAAACUAUGUAAGCGCGCACUCACCAAAGGCGGAGAAGGAGAAUGGAGGAUGGAGCAGACCUCCUAUGGGUUUUGUUAA
rnacentral:rRNA from 1 species